rnacentral:rRNA from 1 species
GCCCAGACUCCUACGGGAGGCAGCAGUGGGGAAUAUUGCACAAUGGGGGAAACCCUGACGCAGCGACGCCGCGUGAGUGAAGAAGUAUUUCGGUAUGUAAAGCUCUAUCAGCAGGGAAGAAAAUGACGGUACCUGACUAAGAAGCCCCGGCUAACUACGUGCCAGCAGCCGCGGUAAUACGUAGGGGGCAAGCGUUAUCCGGAUUUACUGGGUGUAAAGGGAGCGUAGACGGCAUGGCAAGUCAGAUGUGAAAGCCCGGGGCUCAACCCCGGGACUGCAUUUGAAACUGUCAGGCUGGAGUGCAGGAGAGGUAAGUGGAAUUCCUAGUGUAGCGGUGAAAUGCGUAGAUAUUAGGAGGAACACCAGUGGCGAAGGCGGCUUACUGGACUGUAACUGACGUUGAGGCUCGAAAGCGUGGGGAGCAAACAGGAUUAGAUACCCGCGUAAA